UUAAAUAAUGCAAUAGCGCAUGGGGAAUGGGUGAAUACAUUAUUUCAAAUGUUUUGUGGUAUUUGGAGUUCUUCGCAUUUGCUGUUACAUUGAUAGCAUUCUUCUGGUUUGUUUUAUAUUUAGCCAGUCUGAAUUACGUGAAUUACGCGCCUAAAUACGACUUUAGGAAGAAGUAUAUGGCAGAUGACACCUGGUUGCUACAAAGUUAAACGUAAUGGUAAUAAUAGACGAACAAUCUUUUAAUUCCUAGUCCUGGAAAAGCACCCAAACCUCGUGUGAGAUCCCCGAGAAGAAAGGUUCUUGUUGACACUCAACCUGUAUGUUGCGACCCUGGAUGUGUCUGGUUUUGUAGCGUUAUAGUCAGCAUCGUGACAGUAGGAAUGUGUUACUACCUGGCUUACACACUCCUGGCAGAUACGAAGCUCAGGUUUGCUAUAUUUAUGCCCUAACAGCACCGAGACAAGACAUUCAAAUGGAAGAAAGCGAUAAAUUCUGUUGGUGUAAC